CGGCUCAUCACAUCCUGGGGCUGAAGUAGGUCCCAAGGGUAUGGCUGUUCGCCAUUUAAAGUGGUACGCGAGCUGGGUUUAGAACGUCGUGAGACAGUUCGGUCCCUAUCUGCCGUGGGCGCUGGAGAACUGAGGGGGGCUGCUCCUAGUACGAGAGGACCGGAGUGGACGCAUCACUGGUGUUCGGGUUGUCAUGCCAAUGGCACUGCCCGGUAGCUAAAUGCGGAAGAGAUAAGUGCUGAAAGCAUCUAAGCACGAAACUUGCCCCGAGAUGAGUUCUCCCUGAGACUUAAAGUCUCCUGAAGGAACGUUGAAGACGACGACGUUGAUAGGCCGGGUGUGUAAGCGCAGCGAUGCGUUGAGCUAACCGGUACUAAUGAACCGUGAGGCUUAACCUUACAACGCCGAAG
rnacentral:rRNA from 1 species